rnacentral:pre_miRNA from 1 species
UUGUGUGGAUGGUGUUCAGAACCAGAGACAGGUGUGUUUGCCUGUGUGUGGAUGGUAUUCAGGAACAGGUGUGUUUGCCU